CACGUAGGGGCCAAGCGUUGUCCGGAUUUAUUGGGCGUAAAGAGCUCGUAGGCGGUUCGACAAGUCGGGUGUGAAAACUCCGGGCUCAACCCGGAGACGCCACCCGAUACUGUCGUGACUGGAGUCCGGUAGGGGAGUGGGGAAUUCCUGGUGUAGCGGUGAAAUGCGCAGAUACCAGGAGGAACACCGGUGGCGAAGGCGCCACUCUGGGCCGGUACUGACGCUGAGGAGCGAAAGCGUGGGUAGCAAACAGG
rnacentral:rRNA from 1 species